GACAGAGGAUGCAAGCGUUAUCCGGAAUUACUGGGCGUAAAGCGCGCGUAGGCGGCUAAGUCAGUCGGAUGUGAAAUCCCUGGGCUCAACCUGGGAACUGCAUACGAUACUGCUUGGCUAGAGUGUGGGAGAGGGUGGUGGAAUUCCCGGUGUAGCGGUGAAAUGCGUAGAUAUCGGGAGGAACAUCAGUGGCGAAGGCGACCGCCUGGCCCAACACUGACGCUGAGGUGCGAAAGCGUGGGUAGCAAACAGG
rnacentral:rRNA from 1 species